rnacentral:RNase_P_RNA from 1 species
GCGGAUGGCUGGAUGACCGCGGGCUUCGGCCCGAGGAAAGUCCGGGCUCCACAAAGCACGGUGCCGGAUAACGUCCGGCGGGGGUAACCCUAGGGAAAGCGCCACAGAAAACAGACUACUCUGCCUCGUGCAGGGAAAAGGUGAAAAGGUGGGGUAAGAGCCCACCGCGGAACUGGUAACAGAACCGGCACGGCAAGCCCCACCGGGAGCAAUGCCAAAUAGGAACCACGCGCGUGUGCUGAUCGGCUUGCCGAUAUCCGCGCAGGGACGCUUGACCCCGAGUGGUUCGGGUUGGCAGCUAGAGGGCGGUUGGUAACAGCCGCUCGAGAUGAAUGGUCAUCCAGAGAGGGCAACCUCUUGGACAAAACCCGGCUUAUAGGCCGUCCGCGCAU